CGGUAUGUGUACACACCAACUAUUUCCCCGCGGGUUCUGAGAAAGGGCACUUCCAUAAGAAAAACUAUUUUACUGUUAAUCAAACCAGAAUGAUUCGUUUCUUCAAGGAAUAUAAGGCAACUCAUUCCAAAUAGCAAACUUGUGGUUUUUUUUUUUUACAAUGGCCAUUCCUGUUUCUUGGAAGUCUGAAGGAUUUGCAGCAACAGAAAACAAUAGCUGCUGGAAUAGGUUCAUUUCCUUGUUAUUUAUUUCCUUAGAAGUUACCCAUAACUGGUGUUUCACUUUCUGAUCUAACCUGGAGUUACUCAUUUCUGCAUUACUGAUUGAAGUCUGCUGAGACUCCACAUAAGCUGGUCUGGUUUGUAGGACUGUGCUUGAGUCCUGCUCAGAGAUGGAUAUUACUGCUCUUCUGCCACCUCUCCUGAGACAAAACCAGUCACACUCUGCAGAAAGCAAGAGCCUAAUAGCAGUGAUGCAACAGGAAAAGGAGAUAUUGUCUCCAAGUGUUCACCAUGACUUUCAGAGUGUAAAAGAGAACUGAAGCAGGCUCUAUUCUCUUAUAGUUGACAUUAAGCAUCUUGCAGCAAAAAUAUUCUUUGCAAAACACUAGAACUAUUUUCCAUUUGGUGGUCAACAAUAUGAGAUGAAUGAGAACAGGGUUUUGAGCAAUACAGCCUCUAGCUUCUAAAACAGUAGAAAGGCUCAGAAAGAAAGGGAGCCUUGGUCUAAUUCAAAGCUUAAAAUGUGUUUUCAACGUGUGUCGCUGCUGCAACAGUGAAAGUUAAAGGACUAACAAUAACUCUGGCCAGUUUUAUUUAUGCUGGGUUUCAGCCCAAACAAAGUAUCCUAGAAGGAAAAAAAAAGGGCGAUAUAAAAGGAAGCACUGAGGUGACUGGAUCAGUCAGGCUUCUAAAGCUUCAUUCUUAACCAUAGGCUUCUUUUUGGUGGUAAAAAUAGCUGCUGCCAAAAUACUGAUGGCUUUAAAGAAGCUGCAUUGCUUUUGCUUCCCGAGGAACUCCAUAUUGUUUCUGUGUCCAGCAUUAAAGUAAGUAUCUGGUUCAGAAAAUAAUAUUCAAGUUGCAAUAGAGAUUUUUCAGCUGCUGUUUAACUUUUCCAAAAGAAAUAAUCGAGAGCAAAAUGAAAAUACGAGAUCCUUGUUUAAACAGAGCCCUUUCUUCACCGUAGGCAACAAUGAAUACACAGGAUCUUGAGCUGAGCUGCAGUAGAUCUCUGAGGAUCCACUUAGAGGCCUAUUUGAAGGCUUUGAAGGAUUUAGUGAAAAAAGGAGGCUGGAUUCUCAUCAGGAGUGCAGUGAAGCCUAGGAUUCUUCAAAAGAAAGGAGAAGCCUGCGCACUGGCCCUGCAAAAAGGCAGGAAGGGAAAAGACAGAAGCAAUCUCUGCUGGGUCAAGUAGCCAAAGCAAGAUACAAUGUGUGGGAGUGCUGGAAAGAGGAGAAAAUACACUGCUUGUUCCCAGUCUUGGUGGAUUAUUAAAUGUCAAAACCCUUGGCCAUCUGGUGAUGUCGUCAAAACCCAUGCUUAGGGCUGCUUUGAAAGGCCCUUGCAUAACAUGCUAUGCUACAAAAGAGGGAGUUGGAGCUGUGUACCAUUUCUUUAAGGCAGAAGAGCUCUCAGCAGGGCAGGAUUGUGCAGCCCUGCUACCUGCAAGGGAAUGCAAAAAGGUUUGUGCGUAAUGAUCUCCCACCUGGACUGAACGAUUUACCAUCAACCUGCACAGUGGGCUUUGCUUGUGAUGUGCAGCCUGGCCUACGGCCCCAGCUGCCAUUAUCAGCAGGACAUUCAGGCUCAGAUGUGUUUUAAGUUCUUAUCCAUUAAACCAACGUGACUAAACAGCGUUUACAGUGACAGCUGUCUGUCUCCUUUUUGGAGGUGCUCAUUCAUUCUUCACUGCUACAAGCUGUGGCCUGGUGUGUUGUGACUAACAGCAGGCAGUGGGAGGCCUGCUUUUUCUUCCUGCAUCUCUUACUGACCUUGGGAAAUCUCUCCCACUGCCUGCUUAAGUUUCCCUGAAUAGUAUUUGUAACCAUUUUUGUUGUGGUUGUUGACCACGCUGGCAAUUAUAAGCAGACUGCAUCCCAUAUUCUGGGAUUUCUUAAUGGAGCUUGUUCAGUUUUCCGAGGAACCCAGGACUAAAUCUGGUGUGUCACGAUUAUGAUCAUCUUGAGGUUUAACCCUACUGUCAAUAGAGACACUGCCUGAUGUCAAAAAGCUGAAGCGUAAAUUUAUCUGUGGGAAAUUCAGUAACAAAUACUACCUUGUUCUUGCAAAAUAGCAUUAGAGCAGAUCCUCCCUGACUAAAACACUGACUAGAAAGAGAAUUUAACAUCUGAAUUAUCUGGGUGCUCAGUGUAGUUCAGGAGAGAGUCCAGCUUUUUUCUGAGCUCUUAAUCUUUUUCUCGGGGACUUUACACACUUUGCCUAAUAUUUGGGUAUAGAGCCUUUUUUAGUACCAUUUUUAGUUCAGACAUUUUCAUCUAAGAUUAAUGCAGUGGGAUUUCAGUGCUGCCAGAGGAAAGUCCCUCAGUACCAUCUAUAUUGUGCUUUUGGCUAAGGAGGCUUAGAGCCAUUUGGCAACUAAAGGAUGUAAGUUUGAAAAGGGACUGAGGGAGUGUUUUAGUUGCCUCGUGUUGGGCAGGAGAUACCAAAAGAGUUCAUGGGUCACAUUACAGGUUAUUUACCGCAAUGAUGAAUGCUCUUAUUGUUACUGCUUCUGGUGGAGGGACUUCAGCUCCCAGACUGGAUACCAAAAAUGGAGGAACAUCUGUGGUCAUAGGGCAUUGUGGGCAUCUACCCACAGUGUCUUUGCGGCCCUGCCUUGGGCCUACGUUUCUGAAGUUCUUUGAGAAGAACUCCCUCAGGCACCUUGGGAACACACCGUUCAGUCAUGUCGUGCUCAUCUUUGUUGGUGAUACUUGUCUGUUCCUUUUCUGAGUUUCCAGGGCUGGUAGCCUGGCAGCUGGUGCAUUUGGAAAGCCAACUUGUCAGAGGCAGAGAACAAAAACAGAUGUUUCAGACACCCAUUGAAGACCCGCUGAUGCCUUAUGGAAUGUGGCAAAAUGUUUAAGGUGAUAACAGCCCAUGUUUCUCACUGAUGAAUAUGGCAGGAAACUGUUGCAGAUCAAUCUGCUGGAGAAUGACAAGUACAGUGAAGAGAAGGGAAAUUUCAUACUUGUGUGUCACUGCACAAGUCAGCUGAACUUGGAUUAUAAGAAUAGAGCAAGAGAAAGGAGUUUUGGAGGGGGAGAAAGGGUAAAUCAACCUUCAGUCUGUGUACAGACACUUAUUAAUGUGGUAUUCAAGAGAAGUGCUCUUCUCCCUCUACCUCUGCAGUAUCCUUUGCACAAAAUCUUGAAGAAAAAUUGCUUUGGCUCUGUCAACACAGAUUGCUGCUACUUUUAUUUGGCAUCAGCUCUGGUGGCACUGGGCCCUUCAGGUUUCUUGUGCCGUAUCUGUCCAGUCCCACCCUGCAUUCUGCCUCUGUGGGAACUCAUUUCCCUCUCAAAACCUGAAGGGAGACCUGCAUAGCUCUUCCAAGCUGAUACAGAGAUGUGCAUAGGGGUAUAUUAGCCUCCUGGUAUGGUGAGCCUGCUAUUGACAAGCAGGCAGUCAUGAGCUGGUGGCAGAAGCCUGGUAGCUGAUGUCUGCAAGGCUGGGCUUCCAAGUGCUAGAAACAUUUUUCACUGCAUUAUUUGUUGUACUGGCCUUGCUCCCUUGUGGGGCACUAUUCAGCUAGCGGGAGUGCUUUGGCCCAUGUAGGUUAUGCCAUUUUCCCAAAGAGCUGCCGCUGAAAGGAUUUUCUGGCCGGCAUAAUCACAUUUACAUGAAGGCUUCUGCCAGCUUUGCUAUAUUGCUCAGGGGUAGAGAGCGGGCUGAGGGUAAAUGACAGUCUUGGAGAUAGCGUUUUGCCAGAAAAACUUUUAGUGUGGCUUCAAGUCUUAAAGACUGCCAUUCAGGUGUCAUAUCUCUGGUUAUUUUUAGUCUGCCUUUUCAAUGUACAGACCUGUACUUUUCUUAUGAAAAAUGUGAAAUCUGCCAAGUUCAAAAUGCAUAUUUUAAUUAACUCAGUGUUUGCUCGAGAGAAAAUGAUACUGCUGCACUUUCAUUUGAUGGUUCAAGUAAUACUUGCAGGGUGUUCACCCUUGACCUGCAAGCUCUCAUAUUUAAAAUAAUCAGGGGAGGGAAGAAAGACAUUUUUGGCAAGGAAAAUGCUGUCCUCAGGCUAUUAAUGCAUUUUAAUCCCCAACAGAAAAUGAAAUCACUUUGGGCAGGUGCCAAGCAAUGCAAUUACUUUCCUCUGAUUUCAGGAAGGACCUCCUCUUGAACAACCUUUCUUGCAUGAAGUAAGAUCUAGAUUCACAGGACUUCACUCUGCUCUCAGUUUAUACCCAUUUUACACCAGUACCAAGACAAUGCCUGAGUACAGUUUCCCUAGAUAAACAAAACAAAGCCAGACCUCGUUGGUGCUUUUAUUUAUUAUUUGUAUUAUGCCUAUUGGUCCAUGUUUGCUGUUACUAACACUGGACUUCAGGCAUGCAGAGCCAGAGGGUACAUUUUUUAAUCUGAUCAGGCUUCUGAGAGUAAUUACCUUUAAACUUCCUAAUUUGCUUGUCCCCUGAUAGUGUUACUAAGAAAGAAAGAUAUCUGAAUCUAGCCCUGCAAGGCAGAAGGUCUGCAACCAUCAUCAGGCUGAUAAAGGGGCAAGCAAAACUGGCCUCUUUUCAGGAGGGGGCCAGCAAGGAUUUCCAAAGGGCAGACUUUGAACUGUUUAGGACUCUGGUAGGGAGGGUCCUUUGGGUAAAGAGGUAAAAGAGGUCCAGGAAGGAAGGAUGCUCCUCAAGAAGGAAGUCUUAAGGAUGCAGGAGCAGGCUGCCCCCCCGUGCCUCAAGAUGAGCCAGUGGGGAAGAAGACCAGCAUGGAUGAACAAGGAGGUUUUCCUGAAGCUCCAGGAGAAGAAGAGAAUCUACCUCUUGUGGAAGAAGGGACAGGCAAUUUGUGGGGAGAAGUCCAAUUUCCAGUACAGGGAGACAAAUGAAGCACGAAAGCUCACUUCAGUGCUUGAGAAAUCAGAAAUCAGAACUCAGCCUGAAAAAAAUUCAAACCCACAUCUCCUGACCAAGCCAGCUGUUUGGCUUCUUCCUUGUGGGCAUCAAGGGAGAGGCCAAUGCAAAGGCAGCAAGGCUGCUUGACCUGAGAGGAGCAGAGUGCAGAUGUGGGGGCAUGGUGGGAAAGAAGCAAGGAUAGAGAAGUAGCAGAGGGGAGCAGAGCAAGGGAUUGGGGAAUUUCUGGAAAGACAGCAAAAGAGAUGGGGUGGAGCAGAGCCUUUUGUGAGCAGUGGGAACUGAAGAGGAACUAAGGGUGCACUGGGUGACAGAAUGAUCUAUAGAGGAACAGAGCAUGUAUGGAAGCUCUACAAAGGAAAAUGUUUCUGCACAAACACAAGUUUUCUAGGAAAAAAAAAGCCCUAGGCAGGCUGGGACUGAUAGUGAGUGGAUAGCUGAGGCUAUAACAAAAGCUGCUUUCACAGUGUACAGAUGGAAAAGAUCUUAACAGGACCAAGCCAGAAAGGCGUACAAAGAAAAUCAGUAACGAAGAACCAUUUAGCAUUUGAACAGAGAGAGCUCAGAGAGCACAAGCACUGAGAAGAUCCUACUAGCGCUGAACAUGGGGCAGUACUGCUUAAAACAUGGACAGCAGACCACCUGAUGUAAACCACCAUGAGACUGGAGUCACUUUGAGCUUUGCUGCUCCCUGCCAUGUGGCUGCCAGGCUGUGGAAGUGGAGCAAUGGACUCCUAGAAAUGGAGUCAUGCUGUGGCUGGGGUUGAUGAAUAAUUAAUCUCUCACCUUCUGCAAAGAAACUGAAUCAGGAGGAAUUGCUGAGGAUGAUAUCCUGGGUUCCCUUGGGAUUUCCAUACCUUCACAUCCUCUCCCUGCAAUAGAGAGAAAUUAUGAAGUCAGUGGCACAUACAUGGUGGCAUCCAGCAUUGGUGAGACUGAGAAAGGACUGGAGAGCAGAAUGUGUGCUGUAAGUGAGGAUAACUGAGUGAGUGGUGGAAGCACCAGAAUGACUUUGCACAGUAAUCACAAGAAAAGAGAGAGACGUAAUUAUCUACAGCUGCGUAGGCUACUGAGACACAGAGAAAGCAAUAAGAGAAAACAGUGCUAUUUACAGAGCCUAGCUGAGAUCACCUGUCUGCUCUGUGUAUCAAAUAUACUCUUUGUACUAAACACUCAAUCUGGGCACCGGCAGUUCAGGCUGGCCCAGGAAAGUGGCAUGUUGACGAGUGUAAGGAGACAGCACUUGGAGCGGCUGCCUCUUAAAAUACUGUCAGUCCUGAAGAUAUGCCCUGAACGAUUCACCAAAUAACACAAAGACUGUGAAGAGCAGGAGUUGCUCUUGAUGACCUACUCACGAGUGACAGACCCAGAGAGAAACCUGACAAAAAAAACCUAAUAGCAUUGCCUUGCAAUGCACAGUUUACAGUCUGGGGGAGGGUAUAAAUGAGGAAGGCUAAGAAAGGGUUGUGACAACUAAACCUUCAACAAGACCUCCACAGCAGUUGCUUUGAAAUCAGGCUCAGUUAUAGUAAAAGAAAGGAAAAUAGCACUCCAGAUAGCUAAAAUAAUAGGAAGGUGGUAGCAUACAGAUGAGCGGAAGCCAAUGCACUGCCUUGUCUGAUUGUCUGAAUUUUCUCUGUUGUAUGCUUGACCACAGGCUAAGUUUGAAAGCAAAUCACAGUCUUCCAGAAUGUUCUUCACAAACGUCAAGCUUCUGUACCACUAGGUCAUGAGCACAUCAUUCUAAAAUCAGGAGGAUUCAACCUGCAAGUGAAAAAAUAAUCAGGAGAAAACAAAUUACUUCAGUGUAUCUUGAAAUUGCAUACAGAAUAGGGGGAAAAAAUGGAAGAAGAAUAUGAGGAAGGAAUACAACUGAUAGUCCAACACUGAACAGUGUCUACAAAUAAAUUAUUAGAAAUAGCAAGUGAAGCAGACUGUGGGAUGUGCUGGAUUUUAAAAGGAAACAAAGAAAGCAGACUGACCUGUGCAAGAAUAACAAGCUCCCUUGGCUCUUGCAGACUCUUGUAAUGAAAAAACAUUGUCUGCAGAGACAAGACUGAGGCUGAAGGAUAAGGAGAAACAGUGAUUCCUAGCCAAAAGGAUACAACAAACAAGAACAAGAAGAAGAAAAAAGAGGGAUUAGUAAGGGCAUUUUGCUAUAGUGCUCUGCAGAAAGAAAGUAAAAAGUAAAGAAAGUUUUGUGUCAUGGCUUGAAAGCUCAGGUAGAAGGAAAUAUUGGGUGCUGUUGCCCAAAUGAAAACAGUACCACAAGGAAUGAAUCAUCUUUUGUAUUAUUGGCAGCAAGUGACAAUCGAUGCAAUCAAUACAAGAAAUACCACAGCCUGCUAAUUGUGAUUUAUCAUUAGAAGUUAGAUCUUGUUUACCUAACCUGUUAGCUUACAGAUUUUCCUGCACUGUGGCAAAUGCCACAAAGACAAUAUUCACUUGGUACGGAAUGAUGCCUUCAGUUCUUCAGGAAAAGGUAGUGGAGUAAGGUGGUUUAGGAGAAGUCUGUGCAACAUCAUGUGCUGUCUGUGUGAUUAAUGUGCCAUGGGGUUGUGAGGAACUGGAAAGCCAGCUAUUGAUCAUAGACUCAUAAAAUCAUAGAAUGCCUUAGGUUGGAAGAGACCUUAAAGAUCAUUGACUUUCAACUCCCCUGUCACGGGCGGAGCUGCCAACAAAAUGCACUUGAUGAAAACACACAUUGAAUUGCUAUGCAAGAUGUUACAUAUUAUGAUUUACAGUUUCUGAGCUGGGCAGAAAGAUGCACAGCAGGACCACGCACUCCAGGUCUCAUACUUAAUCUUCAUUUGAAAAAACAAGUGAGUUCUGCCCCAACCGCGAGGGCCAGGCUCACUAAAUGUAGCAGGUGCUUCCUGAGGCUUUUCUUGUUUCCUAAGGUCUGUAGUUUAAGACACUGAGAAAUGUAAGCUCUUUCGUGAGACUUAAAGAAUUCCUUUGUGAGGACUUCCAUUACUGUCAGGCCUGCUGCACUUGCCUUUGAAGGGUUUGGCCAACAGAUAUCUACAGGCUGAGCUCCCAGAGAAUGCACUGCUUAAGCAGGAGGGCUCAGAUGUCUGUAAUACUGAUUUGAAGAAGCAGAGUUAUGAGCAAGAGGGUCCAAAUACCCAGUGUGGAUGUCAUGUAAGAGGGAAGAAUGAUGAAUAUACUUUCUUUCUGCAAGUCAAGAUGCUUUAAUCAAUUACAAAUUGAGUGCUCAGGACAGUAGGAGCUGAGUGGCUUUAUAGCUUUGAAUUACGUGUUACCCAACCUUAACCAUGUGCCAGUCUCCAAACCUGAAGGUCAGAUCAAGCAAAUAUCAGUCCUAUUGUUUAUGAAGUGCUACUGUUGCACGUAUUCAUAGAAUUAGAGGACAGCUUGGGAGAGAAGAGACCACUCGAGUCUCAAAUUCAUUCCCUUAUUCCCAGCAGGCUUCAUUCUAAAGUUAGGUAAGGUUGCUAGUGUUCAAAUGAGUCCUAAAAACUCGAUUCUGAGCCACUUCCCUUGGCUCUGCUGGUGGGAUUUUGUAUGCGUAUGUGUUAAGUCUAGCUGGAAUUUCCUUUGCUGUAGCCUGUGUUCAUUUCAUCUUAUUCUUUCAAUCAGGACCUUUCUGUAGAGCCUGGCUUUCUCAUAGCCUCUUCUGUAGUCUGGGAUAGACAUUAGGUCCCCCACAGCCUUCUCUUCUCCAGGCCAAACAAAUUCAGGUCCCUCAGCCCCUUUUCCUACAUAUUUCAGAUACUUGACUUUCUUGGAGGACCCAACUUAGUAUAUCAAUAUCUCACAUGACCAGGGAAGACCAGAACUGGAAACUGACGCAGAUGCAGCCUCAUGAGCACUGGACAGAAGGGAAAGUUGCCUUCUAGGCAGAAAGGAUCCAGCCUGCACUGGGAAUGGGGGCUUUGCAAGACCCCCAUUUUAUCACUACUCAACUUAAUGCAGUUUUUUCCCAGACUGAUUCUCCAGCUUAUUAAGGCAGCCGUUCCCUUCAGUGCAUCCACCACUUCUCUGAGUUUGAUAUCUGUGAACUCUUUAAGGUGUUCUCUGCCUCCUUUUCCACACUGUAUGUUACAUUAUACUGGUCCCAGAAUUAACCCUCUGAGAAAUAUUGGCUUCCUAGUAGACUUCGAAAUAUUGACCACUAUGUUUUGAGCCCACUUGUCCAUCCUGCUUCUCCCACUUUGUAGUCCACCCAUCUAGCCCAUAACUACCCACGUUGGCCAAUUUUCCAGUAAUCCAACAAGUGUUUUGCUUGGGCAGAAAUACAUACGCACCUACACAUCAGCCAUCGUAGAGUUUUCCUGUAUCACAUUUGGCCACAUCUUCCGUGCUGGCAACAGAUCAGCUGGAGUAAAGCUCUCUGGAAAGUAGUAGAAUGAGACAUAGGGCCAGGACUUGCACAUGGCAGUAAAGCUGUCAGGGAGUUAUGGCACGUGGCCAGAACUGCAAGCUGUGCUAUGCCAAUCACAGAUGGGAAGUGAAAAUUUGUGACAUUUUGUACUUCAACCCAAAAUCUGAACAGAUUUUCUUGAGACAUUAAAAAAAAAGAAAAAGAAAAAAAAAAAAAGUGGUAUUUCUCAGCCUGAUUUAAGUAUCGUGCCAAAUUUCAUAGUCUUGCUGCAACACUGCAAGUAUGGAAAGUAAAAAGAGGAAAGUCACUAAAUGAUGGGGGAGGAGUUUUUUAUUUUAUCUUAAGGAAUGUGUGGGGCUGCCAAGACUUAGGAGUGUGAACUGCUCCACAAAACCAGAGCAAUCAGAAUCCACAGUUUUUAACCAGGUUCUCCUGUUUGUUUUUCUACCAGUUAGCCAAAGCUGUAGCUCAAAAUGCGAGUAUUCAUGCUGGUAAAUUCAAACAGAAGUUCUUGAAGGUUGUGACAUGGUCAGUGAAGGGUCCAAGAGAAAAACAAAUGAAGGAGAUGCCUCCUCUCUGUAAUCUAAAGCUCGUUACAGCUCUGUGAUUUUCUACCCCUUUCUGGAAUGGUUGGAAAAACAAGUCUGUGCUGUUAAAACCAUUCUUUUCCCAAGCCUUCUUUCAGAAAGCAAUGAUGCUAUCUCAGUGAGAACUCAAAAGGAAGUGCAUGUCUGAGGCAGAGAGAAAGAACGGAAAAUUUCAGCACAAACGGUGAGUUUUUGGCAGCUGGGAGCUGACACAGUUUUGUAACGCACUGUAAGAGAGGGGUUGUCUUGUUGGCACCGUCGGCCACAUUUGUAAGGAAUAAAAGCGUGCCUGUUGGAAUGUUUUUUCUUCUGCAGGAAAUAGAGUGGAAAAGUAUCAGUCGGUUUUCAGACAGGGUCCAGUAUGUUCCACAAAAUGUCUGUCCUUACCUUCUCAGCCUUUCCCUUGCCCUAGCCCCAGCCAAGUUCUUCAGCCACAAGUUUUUCUUCCUCCAGCUGUAUGCAGCUUUCCCAGCUAUAGCCCACCUCCUUCUGCCUGUAUUUCAACUAGAAUCAGUCUUACCAGCAGUGUGAACCUCACAGCUGGAGGUUGGGAGCUGGUCCUUACUGUACUCCUAGGUUGCUUUUGCCAGUUGCAGAAGCAGUUUAGAGAAGGGAGGGCAUUUACCUUCAAUGCAGAACAGAGUGUCAGGGACAGGAUGGGAAUUAAAGGAGUUAUAUUGGAACUAGCCUCCUUAUGCUGAAAUAGAGAGAAGUCACUGACCCUGGAUGGCAUGGAAUGACCAGGAAUAUGUAGGACAGAAAUGAUAGAAUAUGGACUAUGAGUGGAAGGACAUAGUUGGAAGUAGCUGAGGUGGAGGGACCUUGGACUGCCUGAGGAGCUCGAGAAGGGAGACUGGAAGCAGGAGAUGGAUGUCUGGGGGAAUGCCAACGAGGAGAGGGUGGGUCUCAGGGCUCAGGUACGCAGGUGCUUUGGGGGACUGAGUGAAUAAAGCAAGCAGAGGCACUGACCAGAGGGAAAAGGGGACUUGAAAGAGAAACCAGCCAUGGGGAACAAGAAGGCAAGGCAGGAAUGAAGGAAUCUGACUGGGAACACAAGGCCUGGUCAUGCUGUCAGUAAGAGCUUCCAGGGUCUGUUCCUACACAGCAUCACUCCUCUGUGAUCUGUGGGAAACACUAGGUACAUAGGCAGCAUCCUCACCUUGUGUUGGCCCAUUUCAAAGACUGCUGCUUGAUCUCUUUUGGUAAAGGCUCCAGCCCUGCUGUUGCCCUUGGUAGUUAUCUAUCUGAUACCACAGCGUGACAUUUUAUUGUUGCUGUUGUUUUCAUGCUUUUUACUGUGUUCUGAAAAGCUCUGAGAGGACAGGUGAGAACACUGCCGAGUCGAAAUACUUCAAAGCAUGAGGACGUUGAUCUUCUUACUGAACAGCACCUCAGAAGACAUCUGUGUAUGCUUUUGGUGUGACCUGAUCGCAGGCUGUUCUGAGACAUCCUGUACCUGCCGUGACUGACUGCAGUGUGCCCUCUGCUGUCUUGCUGUCUGCACAGCUCAGUAUCUCGGAUCCAGAGAAGCUGAGCCUCUAUUCAGACGCAAAAGCAAUUCUGGCCCCCUAUAAGCUACCUAAUAAAUGUGUUGCCAGAAGAGUCCUCCCAAGAGAGAGGCAGCUCCUGGUCCAAAGCUGCUGUGGAAGGUGCUCUGCAAAUGGCUUUGUAAAGAUCUCUUAGAUAUUCAUUCUGCAACUCAAAAGGAUACUGUGACCUCAACCCUAAUUUCUUCUACCAUGAGCAGUGAUUGAGACAUUGAAGUGCAAAUAAACACCAGUUUUUGAGAAGAAAACCUUGCCAUGCAGGCAGCCAUGUGUAACUUACACCAAAGGAACACUUCUAUUAAUGACACUCUUACAUGACUAGGGGUCAACUUCCCUCUGAAGGGCAGAUAGCAUUUUAAAAUUAUUUUCUUUCUGUGGCUUUUAUCGCUUAUUCAGACUUAGCACUCUUUGAUGCAUCCCUCCAGAUCUGAAUUUUCCCAGUUUAUCUGCCUCAGUUCUGUCAUGUUUCUGCAAACAUCAAUGUUUCUUUGCCUUUUCCCU